GACGAACGCUGGCGGCGUGCCUAAUACAUGCAAGUCGACAUUAGGGGCGGACGGGUGAGUAAUGCCAAGGAAUCUGCUGGGUAGUGGGGGAUAACGUCCGGAAACGGGCGCUAAUAACGCUUACUAACAGAUGAGCCUAGGUCGGAUUAGCUAGUUGGUGGGGUAAAGGCCUACCAAGGCCACGAUCCGUAACUGGUCUGAGAGGAUGAUCCGUCACACUGUAACGGAGACACGGUCCAUACUCCUACGGGAGGCAGCAGUGGGGAAUAUUGGACAAUGGGCGAAAGCCUGAUCCAGCCAUGCCGCGUGUGUGAAGAAGGUCUUCGGAUUGUAAAGCACUUUAAGUUGGGAAGCGUUACCAACUGAAUAAGCACCGGCUAACUUCGUGCCAGCAGCCGCGGUAAUUC
rnacentral:rRNA from 1 species